UUCGAUUCUGGCUCAGGAUGAACGCUGGCGGCGUGCCUAACACAUGCAAGUCGAACGAGGUUACUGAGAUUGGAGAUUCGUCAAAGAUCUUUUAACCGAGUGGCGGAUGGGUGAGUAACGCGUGGAGAAUCUGCCCUUAUCAGGGGGAUAACAACUGGAAACGGUUGACAAUACCGCAUACGCUCAUGAGAUCGCAUGAUCUUGUGAGGAAAGAUUUAUCGGAUAAGGAUGGCUCCGCGUCGGAUUAGCCAGUUGGCGGGGUAACGGCCCACCAAAGCGACGAUCCGUAGCCGGCCUGAGAGGGCGACCGGCCACAUUGGGACUGAGACACGGCCCAGACUCCUACGGGAGGCAGCAGUGGGGGAUAUUGCACAAUGGGGGGAACCCUGAUGCAGCGACGCCGCGUGGAGGAAGAAGUAUUUCGGUAUGUAAACUCCUAUCAGCAGGGAAGAAAAUGACGGUACCUGACUAAGAAGCCCCGGCUAACUACGUGCCAGCAGCCGC
rnacentral:rRNA from 1 species